CGCCGAGCGAGCCCACGCAAGUGCGUUAUGGCAAAUCGCCUCGCCAGGAGGACCGGCAGCGUCCGACCUUGCGGGUCUCCGGGCAGCAGGGAUUAGUCUUUGUUUUCUGGCUUAUUAAUAUGCUGCAAACUGAUUGCGAUUCUGCUCUAACUCCAGUAGCCCUCUCAUAGCUCUGUUGCAGCAUCGCGUUGGGUGGGGAGGUGACCAGUUAUUUUGCAGCUGAAUCUUCCUUCUGCCUUUAUUUCCAAAUACUGCCCUCAGAGGGAGCCUCGAUAGCUGCUGUUCCUUACUGGGGAAUAGCACGACGUCCCUGUGUGACCACGGCCAGAGAGCGUGAGUGCAUUUCUGAACCUUGCUGCUCCCCACACCACCUGUCCUGAGCUGCUGGGAGGGAUGGAGGGAAAAGCAAAAAUCCUAGAUUAAAAAAUCACUACUUAGUUUUAAUGCAAAUAUUCUCAGUGUUACCAGCAGUCAGGCUGGAAUUGGCUUAGACUGCUGAUUCGGUUGCCCAAGCCCACACUCAUCAUACAGGUUCUUUCCUUAUCUCCAGUGGAAAGAAAGAAGCAGCUCAUAAAACUUGUGCAUCCCUUCAGGAUACAGUUCAAAGCAGAGAUUAUUUGCUUUCUGGAAAUAGCCAUUGCUUAGCAUUUAAAUAUCAAAGGUGUGCAAGCUUAAGCCGUUCGUCUGGACUGCUGAUGCCAAACAGCUGAAGUUUGCUGAAAUGACCCUCAACCUUCAUGCAUUAAAUUUGCUAACAGCAAUGAUCAGCUGGGGCUGUGCUGUAGUAACAACUUAGAGCUUAGAUUUCUCCUUCUUGCUUGCAGGCACCAUAAUUACCAUCAAAUGGGGGGAAAAAAAACCAAAACAAACAGACUAGCUACUCUAAGCAGCUGCAGUAUAAAGCUUGGGAAAGCUAUUUCAUGAGGAAAAUCACUGAUCUGGAAAAAAAAUUCCACAUGUGCAGAUGUGCAUGGAUACUUCAUCUUUAUAAAACUCUUCAAGACCAUUCCCCUCUCCUGGAAAGUCCCUCCUCCCAGCUGGAGCCAUCUCCUUCUCCAAGGCCGCAUGGUUUGAUGGAGCAAGUAGAACUUGGCGGGGGGGGGGAGGUGCAAGGGUCCGGGCUGGCCAUGGCCACCCCACCCAGGAAAGCAGCUGAAUUAGGCUCAGGGUUGGGUUUUCGGGCGUCUAACAGGGUCAGGGUCCCUCCUAAAGCUUUUCCAUAUCAUUGUCCCUCUGCGUGGGUUUGGUGGUGUGCGGCGGGACGUUGCAGCCUCCCCGGGGAGGAUGGGGCUGGGGAGACCUCACACCCCGCUCGGAGAAGCUGCCUAAGAGCCUCUAAAGUGAUCAAGGUCCUCCCGAAAAGUGGUUAGGUAAGGUGUUUCUUUAUGAAGCUACACUAAAAAUAUGAGUUUGCAAUAAAAAUCCCUUCUAUCUAUUGAAAUUAGUUUCUUCCAGACGUCUGGUGUUACGGUAGGAAAAUCACGUUUAUUCAAAUCACUGUUACUGGAAUUACUCAGAUAACCGCAGUAUAAAUGAUUUGUUCUCUAUCAUCUCUUUUACAUUCUUGAUAUGAAGAUUAAAAUAUAAAUUUAAAAAUACCAGAUACAGCUUAAAAAGUAGCUAUCAUUAACCAAAUAUAAUUUACAGCAAUACCUCUUUUUUUUUUUUUACCUCAACCACAGCCGUUUGGUUUUCUCUUUCAUCGAGUGGUUGCCAAAAAAUAUUAAUUAAAAAAAAAAUAAUGCACCUUUGAACGCUUGUUUGUCUCUUCACAAAACUGCUGUAGGUGUCUUCCAAGCACUUCUGAAGACGGCUUUGGUUAAACCAUCCCGGUCGCCUGUACUUACACUCCCCUGAGAGAGCGCAGUGAAUCAGCAUUCCUGAGUGCAUGAAAACCGUGAGCAAAUGGGAUUAAUAGCAAAAGAAAACAGCAACAGCAGCGGUGCCCAAGCUGCCAAGGAAAACACAAGUUAUUAGUUCUGCAAGGCUUGGUUGAAUGACUGAGAUCUAAAUGUUGUAGACGGGUUUUUUUUGGUUGGUUUUCUGUUUGUUAGCUUUUUUUUUUGAAUGCUUCUAGUUUGGGGGAAAGCCUUGUAUUGAAACAGUUUAGCAGAGUUGCACAAGUGUAACAGGCAGCUCUCAUUUGGGCAUUUUUGAAGCUUGUUGAUGUUUGGCUAAACAAACCAAUUAAUCUUUGGGAGCCCUAAAUGGAUACCAAAGUCAAUUGCCAUUUUGGGUACUCUCAGGAAAAAUACUCUUACUGCCAAAUGCGGGCUCUGGGACGGCGCCGGCACUGCUGGCUAAAGCCAAUGUCCACCUGAUGGGGCAUCAGCGCUGCCAGAGCUGCUUCAUAAAUAACUUUUGCUUUGGAAUAUUGCAAGGAAUAUUUAUUUAGAUGGGGGAAAAAAUCACCUUAUGCUUUCCAACAUAAUGAAUCUGUACAGCGGGUGCUGGGGGAGCUGGGCAGCUGUGAUGAGCAGAGGGGUUGGAUGCAGGUCGGAGCGGGUGGCACCGAUGUGACAGCUCAGUGAUGCCACGUUGCUGCUCUGCUCGUGCCUGCGGUGACACAGCUGAGCCCUGGGCGCUGGGACGCAGGCGUCACUGCCCUGGGCUGUGGUAGCAAAAUCCCAGUUUGAAAGAAAUCCCAGUUUUUGAGCUCACACAGCGAGAGGCUGUAAUCGGUAAAACUGUAAAUUCACUGUGGUUUUUUACUUUUUUCUUCUUUUUAUUAAGCAGGUUUUAUGCUGCUUGGCAUCUCUCUGCCUCCGCUCGUCUCUGACCUGUCCUCCUCCCGGAGCAGCCGCAGCACCCAAAGGCACAGGCAUCGCAUGGGGACGCCCAUCAGCCCGUGCGCACCGUCCUACCACACUCCUGCCUGCGGAAAUGAGGGGUUUUUUUGGUAAACUGGCAAAUAUUGUGACUGGUGGAUGGCUGGGCAAUGCUGCCACCCUGCUCCUGUGCUGCGAGCCGGCAUCUAAAAUCAUGUCAGAGAGUGUCAGGAAGGGAGCGGCGUUAAUGCCGGGCUUUGCUGUAGCGUUAGCUCUUGCUGGGGACGGGGUAUGGGGUUAGUGCGAUGCUGAGCACCUCCAUGCCUCGUUGCAGCGAGCUGCUUUUCUCUUGCAUGUUUGUUCAUUAAAAGUUCAGGAAAGGAAAACAGUUUGACCCGAUUUGUGCCAGAUUCCAGAUGAUUUGUGUUCUCUAAUUAUAUUCCCCAGCCCGUUAACCUAGCGUGCGUUACAGCAAGCGGCCGCAAUGGUACGCAGUGAAGAUACUCCCGUGAAACAUUAAUGAGCUGUUUUCCUAUUAACUAAGACAGAGCUGGGUUAGAAAUGUCACACCCACAGCUGUUGCCUUGACUGCAGCUCACACGGUAACUGGUGGCGGCUACUUGUACAAACGCUGUAACUGAUGCACACAGAUUUUCUGGAAAUUACCACGUAUUUCUUGGUCUUUUGCAAGCGAGGAACCAGUUGCUGCGAGGGCUGCGUUCCUGCAGCCCGUAGCCAUUUAGCAGAAGGCUUGUUUGCAGGAGGUCAGCUCUCCAUCCAGCUGGGAACAUGGGUGGACGAGUCCUUUUGGGAGGCUUUGAAAAGGCUCGGCGUGAUUUAGGCACUCAGUUUCCUUGGGAUUCCAAUUAAGCUCAGAAAAUGACUCCAGGGAGCCUUUGCUGGGAGUUUCUGGGCCAUGCUGGUGUCAUGGGUUCGUCAGCCCAGAUCCCACUGGUGCUGGCAGAGAGCUCAGUGCCGGUGCGGUCUUUUUUUAAAGAACUUUGAUGUCUCAGAAAGUGCAAACGAUGGUGGCUGCUCGCUGGCGACUGCCCCUGGGAAUCCAGCCCAGGAUAUUUAUUUGAAAUGACAUAAAUAUUUUAUUUAUUUAUAUUAUUACUGGUCUGCGUAAGGUUACAUUGUGUCUUUGUACGCAUGCAUUUUUCCAUACAUCAUUUUAGAUUAUAGAAAAGCACAUCCAGACUCCAACAAAACACCUGACCACCCCGAAGCGCCUGAACACCGAUGCGGUUUUGCCUCUUUUGGACGCACCCCACGAAGAGGCUGGGAAGCGGAGCGCUGCCGAUCGCGGCAGGGCUCGCCGAGGACACCGUGCUGCCAGCACUCGACAGCCUUCUCCUACCCGGGGUGCCACGAAAACCCCCGUCCCGCAGCAGCCCGGGGUGCCGAGUCGCUCCCAGCGGCUGCCUGAAGCCGAAACCCAUCAGGGUGGCCCCGGGGACGCCGGCAGUGGCCAGAAAAUCUGAGAAAUCUGUACCAAGGGGAGCAGCGAGCCGUGCAAAUGCCGUUAUGUAUUACAAGCAACAAGCCUUUUCCUGCCGGCCGGGCCUUGCAGAACAAUUGCACUUCACUGGCACAGCUCCUUCCCAAACCCCCUCUGGCAGCGCUGGCGGGCAAAAGGGGUGUAAACGUGCCGUGCUACCGAUCCACCUCUCCUCGUGCUGAAAAUAAACCCAGGCGGACCGAGGUUAGAGUACAAACGUGCUGUGCAGAAGAGUGGGUGGCUGCUCAGCUCCCGGGAAAGCCGCGUUUGCUUCUCUUUGCUCUGAAGACCUCAACUGCACGGAAAUCCAGCUUUCAUUUUUCAGGCCCUGGGAUCUCCAUCCUUUAAAUAUCAAUUUUAUUUCGGAAGCUGUCCUGUGAGUCCCACAGACUCUCCUCCCCUCAGGUCACAAAGGACCCAGACAAUCUGAGUAAACCUGCCAUAAAUGACUUCUGUUGCACAAGAGAUUCUUCAAUCACAAACAGCAAGAACAUCCCAGUCACUUGCAAACAGAAAACGGACCCCAUUUUGCUCAGUAAAUGAUUUGUUACAAACUGCCCAGUAUUUGGCUGCUAAUCCAAGCUGCGGGCUCACCUGAGACAGGUUUGUCUUCCCACAGCUGUUGCAUUUCUUUAAUGAAAGAGCUUUGCCUGAUUAAAAAAUUUGCAAGACCAGUUAAUGAUAACCAUCAGUGGAAAACCCUGCAAAUGUUACUAUCCUCUAAACUUUCUGUUAUCAGCUGGAGCUGGGCUGUGUUUACAUGCCCUAAGAAACAGCACUCCCAGAAAAUAACUUAAUUCGCGAACUAUUUUCUGUGGUUUGGGUGGUGGGGGUGAUCACGGCUCUAUUUCGCCACUGCUGCUGCUGUCUGUGUUUCUCUCCUGCAGGCUUCAUGUUUGUCCUUCAGCCCCCAGCUGCUGGUAAGGCACGGACAGCAGUACAACAGCAUCUUCGCAUACAUCCACGCUGCGGUGGGGACCGAGCUGAGCAGGUUUUAGUUUAUUUAUCUGGUCCUUCCUGCAACCCCGGGAUGCAGAGAGCCCUUCCCACCAGAUUGAGGGUUUUUUUACCCUGGUAUCAAAGCCAGAGCAGUGGUUCCCAUGAAGACGGUGGGGUCUCCUCUCAGCACCUCUUCAGGAUGAGGUCCUCAGGCACAGAAGACAGAGGUUGCAAAUGCUGAGACCCAUUUUGCAGUGCAAUGCAUGGUUUUGGCAUUUAGCUUAUAGCUUGCUGCCAAUGUAUCACACCUGGGAGCUGCUGCUUUAAUGCACACACUGCAUUGAGGUGGGUAAAUGAAUCCCGGCCAGCGAUGUACUCAGUGCUGUUUAACCUGCUACGAUCCUGCCCGCCCUGCAACACCAGGCUUCCUAGAAGGAACUCGUUAUCUGCAAUGAGACCCGAGCUGGGCCGUUCGUUUUUGGGGGCAUGAGCAUAACGCCUUCAACUGGAUGAGGCUCCUGGCACAAACGCUCAUGGGGCUGUUCCCAAAGCACGGCUUCCCAGGCUCAUCCAGCCCCACGGCAGGUACCUUCAAAUACGCUUGGAGAAAGAGGUGUUACGCUGUCAUGGGCUUUCCGAAACAGUGACAGUCCCCCAGCAGGGUCCAGGGGACGAUCACAGUAUUUCUCCUUAGAGAUGAGGUAGAUUUUUAAAAUUCUGCCGCUUCCCUUUGCAUUUGGCAUCACCCCCGGGCCAAGGAAAUGAUGUUCAGGAGCUUUGAGACCUGAAGGGGCCAGAGCUGCCCCCGCGGGGCCGUGUGUACGUGUGCGUACGUCUGUCCGGGCUCCCGCAUGGGCACCAGUUAUCGCCCAAGUCUGAAGAAUAGAUGCAAAGGGGCUAAAAAGCUGAUAUAAGCCAGGAGAGAAAGAGAUGGCCUCCUGUAAUUGUCGUCUUCAGGCAUUUCAGAGAGAGAGAGGAAGACUGGGGGGGGAGGGAGGGGUGUUGGACGUGUUUGACCCCACCAUGGGUGUUUGUCAUGUCGGACGUGAGACCCUGCCCCAUGGCCACUGUAAAAAUCUCAAAAUCUUUGGGUUGGGAAAGCAAAAGCCAUUUAAAUAUAACCCUUGUCACAGCUGUAAAUUAGAUACUAUAUGAAUUGUCAUAGUAAAUGAAACCCAGGUUUUGGCUGGUCUUCUGUUUUAUCAGGGCAUUUAAGUAAGUAAAUGUCUUUUCCAUAUUGAAAGUGCUGAGGUAGUUCAUUACCUGAUUAAAGAACAUGUUGGACUUGAAUGCACUGAUGGUGCUAACUGAAUAAUCAAGGUAAGCAGGGAUCUUUCAAAUCCUCAAGCAACAAACUUCAAUUAGAUGGGAGAGAUUCAAUUAUGCUUUAAAGGGAACCUGGCUAUGAGCAUGCAGGAUAUGGCAGAAAAAUGUAUGCAAAGAAUUUCAUGGAAAGGAGCAAUUAUUUUAUCACUAGGACAUGCAAAGUGAAAUUUGCUCAUCAGUCCUGAAUAGAAGCCCAAAUAACUGAGCCUUUUAAGGAGGUGAUGAUACAUGGACCAGGAUGGACUUCAGCUGAAUGUAAAGGCUGAGAGCCUCAAGCAGGUUUAAGUGAGUUUGAUUGAUUUCUGUGCAGUUAUCAACUAAGGUUUUGGUCAGUGACUUCAUGGUAUUUGGCCUUGGAUAAUGGAUGUUGUAACAAGGAUGUAGGACGUCGGCAGCAAGUGUCUCCCAAUCCCACUUCAUUAAGAUAAAGUUUUAGAAGUUGAAUUGUUUUUGAGUCUGAAGAUGCUGGUUCUUCCUCCCCCAGCAUCUCUGCAUCAGUGAAAAAAGCACAGGGAAAAGUCAAACACUUUGCAAAAGAACACAGACAUUUGAAUUUAAUAAAUUAUAAAAUUAAAGAUUCUAAUUUGUAUA